rnacentral:ncRNA from 1 species
UGCGUUGAACCUUUAGCUAGGUCGCAAGUAACCCCAGAGGGGGCGAAGCAACGGGAA